rnacentral:misc_RNA from 1 species
AGGACAGGCAAGUAACUUAAGUUACUUAGCUAGGUUGAGCAAGCCUUACACGAAAGCUGCACAUUACCCUCCUUCUGCUGUCAAAGCAGAAAUGUUAUCUCGAAAGACAAGUGAUAGAAAAUAUCAUAUGAUAUAGAUAAGAUAUCUCAAGCACAGUAACACGCAAGUGUAUACUGUAAAGUCACAAAUAAAAGACGGCGCUUGAGAAUCUGACUCCAAAGGCGAAAAAAAUACAAGGCUUGCUACCCAAAUUUUUUGGGUCAAACUAUUAAGAGCUGCUGGUGGAUGCCUUGGC